AAAGACUUUCACUCGAACCGCAGAUUCGAUAAAGUAUCAAAUUACAGUUUCAGUUUGAGUGAUUUCUCAGCGAAAAUAUUACCACGAAACAUUUCGCAAACGUCUCAAAAAACGAGAACUAAUUCUAUCAUCAACGAUAAGCAGUGGGAGAUUGAACGUCACAAUGAGCAUUUUAUGAAGAAAUUACAGAAGGCCAAACCCACCACAAACAUCAAAAAAUCGACCAGUGAAAUGGCUGUGCUGCAAGUGAGGUCCGAGAAACAUGUUCCGGCUGCUUCCAUCCAAAGACGACAGAAACAAGCGGAAAUUAAUGCUAAAAAUGGUAUAAUACAAAAGAAACUCAAUGCUAUAGCUUCCAAAAAGAUAUAAAAAUGUCGUGCAAGACCGUGGAUAAAUGCACUUAUACAAAUUCGGAAAUUCUCCUAUUUACACAACGGUUACGGUAUUUCCAUUGCUUUUAGUAUCAUGUCCCUAUUCGGCAUAUAUUUCCUUCCAUUAAA